ACGCUGGCGGCACGCCUAACACAUGCAAGUCGAACGAAGUAGCAAUACUUAGUGGCAGACGGGUGAGUAACAUGUAGGUAUCUGCCCUUUGGCCUGGAAUAACACGAGGAAACUUGUGCUAAUACCGGAUAAGUCUUUACGGAGAAAGCUUUAUGCACCAUUGGAUGAGCCUGCACUUGAUUAGUUUGUUGGUGGGGUAAUGGCCUACCAAGACUGUGAUCAAUAGCUGAUUUGAGAGGAUGAUCAGCCACAUUGGGACUGAGACACGGCCCAAACUCCUACGGGAGGCAGCAGUGGGGAAUCUUGCACAAUGGAGGAAACUCUGAUGCAGCGAUGCCGCGUGAGUGAAGAAGGCCCUUGGGUUGUAAAGCUCUUUCGUCGGGGAAGAAAAUGACUGUACCCGAAUAAGAAGGUCCGGCUAACUUCGUGCCAGCAGCCGCGGUAAUACGAAGGGACCUAGCGUAGUUCGGAAUUACUGGGCUUAAAGAGUUCGUAGGUGGUUGAAAAAGUUAGUGGUGAAAUCCCAGAGCUUAACUCUGGAACUGCCAUUAAAACUUUUCAGCUAGAGUAUGAUAGAGGAAAGCAGAAUUUCUAGUGUAGAGGUGAAAUUCGUAGAUAUUAGAAAGAAUACCAAUUGCGAAGGCAGCUUUCUGGAUCAUUACUGACACUGAGGAACGAAAGCAUGGGGUAGCGAAGAGGAUUAGAUACCCUCGUAGUCCAUGCCGUAAACGAUGUGUGUUAGACGUUGGAAAUUUAUUUUCAGUGUCGCAGGGAAACCGAUAAACACACCGCCUGGGGAGUACGACCGCAAGGUUAAAACUCAAAUGAAUUGACGGGGACCCGCACAAGUAGUGGAGCAUGUGGUUUAAUUCGAAGAUACGCGCAGAACCUUACCAACACUUGACAUGUUCGUCGCGACUCUAAGAGAUUAGAGUUUUCGGUUCGGCCGGACGAAACACAGGUGCUGCAUGGCUGUCGUCAGCUCGUGUCGUGAGAUGUUGGGUUAAGUCCCGCAACGAGCGCAACCCUCACUUUUAGUUGCCAUCAUUAAGUUGGGCACUCUGAAAGAACUGCCAGUGAUAAGCUGGAGGAAGGUGGGGAUGACGUCAAGUCCUCAUGGCCCUUACGUGUUGGGCUACACACGUGCUACAAUGGUAUCUACAACAGGAAGCAAGACUGCGAAGUUAAGCAAAUCCCGAAAAGAUGCCUCAGUUCGGAUUGCACUCUGCAACUCGAGUGCAUGAAGCUGGAAUUACUAGUAAUCGUGGAUCAGCGUGCCACGGUGAAUGCGUUCCCGGGUCUUGCACACACCGCCCGUCA
rnacentral:rRNA from 1 species